GAGCUAAAUCCCUGGCCCCUGUCAGUGUAUAUUUUCAAGAACAAAGAUAUUCUCUUCUACAACCACAGUGCAAUGAUCAAAACAAGAAAUUUAGUGGAUAUACUGUGAUUAGUUACAGAUUUUAGGGUGUCCUUUUACACCAUUCUUGUGUGUGUAUGUACAAAACACUAAGAUGGUGCCAAAGUCAAAUUCUACACAAAGAUAGACUCAGAAAAACAUGUUAGAUGACAGACAGAUAAUUGAACCCAGGGUCUUUGCAGUUAGCUACACCCCCAGCUCUUUUUUUAAAUUUUUGAGGAGGGUCUUGCUAAGCCACUAGCCCAGGAUGGAGACCUCCUGCCUCAGCCUCCCUGAGUGCUGGGAUUACAGUUGUGCACCACCACGCUGCCUCAUGGUGUCCUCCUUCCUAUGUUCAUGACUUCGGACCUGGAUCCACUGGUUCAUUCUCCCUAGAUUCGGUGCCUGCCUGUUCUCCCUUCCUACCCACACUCAAGCACAUACACUGCACAGUGGAGUGUAUCCCCACGUCGUGGUGCUGGGUAUUGAACCCAGGCCUUCUUGCAUGUGGCUCCACUGAGCUACACCCUCCUCUUCUCUCAUUUUUAAACAACAAAGUUAAUUUUUGCACAACAUGUCCUUCAAUGAGCCCCAAUCCUAUUGUAUGAAAGCAGGGUUUCCUUACCAAGACCAAGCAAUCUGGUUUUCUGUUUUUAAUUAAAUGCAAGACAAAAACAACACAUGAAUCACUUCCUCUACAGGACAGGGACUGCAAGUAGACACUCACUGUCCAGAUCUAGGGUCAGCUGCACUCUGCCAGCCCCAUUUCCUCAGGAUGUGUAUCUUUCUGCGCUUCUAGAUCCUUCUGGAACAGUCACCAGCUGCCUCUUCCUCACAGACCAGGUGGUGUGGUAAUGGGGUGACCUGGACUGAGACUUUUUACAAAGGCUGGCUAAGGUUUUCACUAUCAACAGUUUGAAGUUCCUGACGUUGGUUUCAAAUACUUAAGGAAUCUAGCUUUGUUAGUAAACAAAAAUUUUAGCUUUAUAAAAUAUUGAUAAUUUCCUUUCCUUUCCCUUCAGUGUCUAUUUCAAAGGCCUGUACCCAUAAUCAUUUAAUACUUUGGAAGAAAGGUUCUGGUCAUUUUUUCUUAUAAAGGCUUUCAUCAAUGGGUACUAAGUGCCUGCAGUAUAUCAGGCACUGUGCUAAAGAUCGGGGACAUCAGUGAUCAAGACUGAUAAAAAGAAACUUGUUGGCCUUUGGAACUUAUGUUCUAAUAGGUAGAGACAAAGUUUUAAAGAACCCACAAAAACAGCUAAAUUAUGUAGUUUGUUGCAAGAUGCUAAGUGCUGGCAAAGAUAUAGAUUAAGGGAGAAUGAGAAUACAACAUUGGUAGUGGAGAUAGUUGUAAUUUUAAAUAUUUCAGAGGGCUAAAAUAGAGUGCUUUCCUAACAUGUGUGAGGCCUUGGAUUCAAUCUCCAGGAUAUUAAAAAAAAUUAAAAUAUGUCAAGUCCAGCCUUUUAAUUUUUUAAAAUUGUCAAAGGUGGCAAUCAUACAGCUAUUCGGGGAAGGGGCACUGCAGGAAGAGGGAACAGCCAGUGUAGUAGAUGUGUAAAAGGCUGGAAUGUACCUGGCUUGUGAAGGCAAAAACACUUGUGGUAGAUUGGGAGUGUUAUGGGGAUGUAUACGGCAGUGAUGGCGAACUUUCAGUGAUAACAGUCAGCUGCAGCACGAGUGCCAUAGGUUCUCCACACCUGGUACUGUGCUUUCUGAGGCCAUUACAAGGACUUUAUUCUGAUUGAAAUGGAGAACAGCUGAGGAAUUGGGUUAGAGACGUCACAUGAUCUGACGGGUUCAGAAGGGGUUGCUAUGACGUGUCCCCUCUAAAAUUCAUGUUGAAAUGUAAUUGCCAAAGCUGUAACAAUUUCAAAGGUAGAACCUUUAAGAGGCAGGCCAUGAGAGCUCCACUCGCAGGUGGGGCUGGUGCCCUUAUAAAAGGAUGAGUUUGGCCCCUUUGCCCUUCUGCCAACGUAGUAAGAAGGUCCACACUGAUGCAGGACCCUUAACACCAGGCUUCUCAGCCCCAGGACUAUAAAUCAACAAAUAUUUAUUAGAAAUUACCUAAUCCAUGCUGUUUUCAUAACAACACAAAACAAACUAAGGUGUAGGGACGUAGGGAGGGCAAAGGUGGAAGUCUCGGGACUAAUUAGGACACCGUUACAGUACUGUGGUAGAGAGAUGUUGGUGGUCUAGACCAGAAUGGUUACAGAGGAACUAGCAAAAAAGAACGUGAUUGGGCCUGGGAUUUAGCUCAGUGGUUCUGCCGCCUGCCUUGCAAGCGCAAGGAUCCAAGUUUGAUGCCCGGUACCAAAAAAAAAAAGAGAAUGUGAUUCUGUAUGGUAAAUUGAUAGAAUUUCCUGGUGGGCUGGAAUGUGGACUAUGAAAAAGGACUCCAAGCUGAAGGCUUUUGGGUUGAGCAAUUUGAAAACUGGAGUUGCUGUCAACUGAGGUAAGGAAGAUUAUGCGCAGAGGCUUUAUGGGGAAAGAUCGGGAGUUCCAUUUGGAGUUUGUUCAGUUUGAUACAUCUAUUAGGGAUCUAAGUGGAAUCAACAGAUCAGUGUGUCUACUGUCAAGAGGAACAGGAGCUGGAGCUCUAAAACUGGGAGUUGACAGUAUGAUGCCAUAUAUGUGAUCACCCAGAGAAUGAGAGUGGAUAAUGAAGACAACCCAGGGCAUACAGUACUUAUCCCGGGAUACCUUUGAGGUGUAGGAAAAGCAAAGGAGACCAGGACUGUCUAAAGGGAUAGCAACCUCUUCACCACCUCAGUUCUGUAAGCCAAGCAAAGAAAGUGAGUUAAGGCAGAGGACGUUAGGCUUUCCAUCUAGAUGUCCCCCCAAAGCCUCAUGCACUCAUAGGUGGGGCUUUUGGGAGUGACUGGCUCAUGGGGGUGCCACACUGGUUUAGGCCGCUGGUGGGUUUAUAGCUAGGUGUGAUGCUGGGAGGAGAAUCCUGGUGAGAGGAGGUGGGUCACUGGGGGCGUGCCCUGAACUGUGUACUUUGUAUGCUUGUUCGCAAACUGAGUUGGAUGGGAACUGAAUCAAAUUCAGUAAUUAGGUUCAAUGUUGACCUUAUGGGAAAUUUGAUUCAGCUCUCAUCCAGUUCGGCUUGUGACCAGAAUCAUGGAGAGAACGGAGUUCGUGAACCCAGGUACCACAGAUACCUUCCUGCUCCCUCAACCCCUCUUGAUACUUCCUGCCUGCCAUGCCACCCUGCCUUGGAGCCAGCCUGUGGAUUGAAACCUCUACAAACUGUGAGCCCAAACAAACCCUUCCUCCUCUAAAUUGUCAUCGGAUUUUGUCUCAGUGGAGAAAGUAAGACAGAGGGUGUGAUCAGAUGUGUCGAAAGCUACCAAUUCAGGGGAUUGAACUCCGGUCCUUGCGCUUGCGCAGCAGGCGGCGAAACCACUGAACUAAAUCCCCUGCCCCACUAACUACUUUCUCAUGCUGAUCUCACUACAUAAAGACUACAGAAUAGAGGCAAACACUGUGAAGUAUGGAGGAAAGCAGUCCCUUCCAAGGGCAUGGGGCGGCACCGUGUUGUUGUUUCCUGGGGACUCAGACUGGGGUAAUCACUGUUACUGUGCAUGGGGAAUCCUGGGUCUCUUACAAGCUUUAUUCUGGAAAGACUUUGAUAAGUUUUUUAUUUUUAUGUUGUGUUUUGUUUAUCCUUGGAGGGGAACCAGUACCAUGUUGAAAUAACUCUUCUGAGCAGAAAACCAAAAUCAUUAUGAACUGAACACACAUAAUCUUGGCUGAAAUAAUACCUUAGGCUUAAGGAAUGAUUUAAGGAUGUUUAUUUACAAGAUACAAAUGUUUAAUAUUUAAUAGGAAUUAAAGUGCUUAAUUUUA